AACGCACCUUGCACUCCUUGGUAUUCCGAGGAGUACGCCUGUUCGAGUGUUAUGAAGCUCUCAAAACGCAAUUGGCUUAAAACCUGAUUGUUGUUUUGGAUUUGAACUUUGCCGUGUUAUAACGGCUGGUUUUAAAAGUAUUAGCUGGUACUAGAACGAAUUGGUUCUACUCAACGUGAUAAUUAUCUGAUCGUUGAGGACAUUCCUUUCACGAGGAAUGGCCAUAGUAAAUUAAAUGGACUGCUUCUAAUCUGGCUUUAAUUCUUUAUUGGAUUAACCACUUUUCAAAUCUGACCUCGAAUCAGGUGGGACUACCCGCUGAACUUAA
rnacentral:misc_RNA from 1 species